rnacentral:rRNA from 1 species
AGAGUUUGAUCAUGGCUCAGAGUGAACGCUGGCGGCAUGCCUAACACAUGCAAGUCGAACGGUAACAGGCCCGCAAGGGUGCUGACGAGUGGCGGACGGGUGAGGAAUACAUCGGAAUUUGCCCAGUCGUGGGGGAUAACGUAGGGAAACUUACGCUAAUACCGCAUACGACCGAGAGGUGAAAGCGGGGGAUCAGCAAUGACCUCGCGCGAGUGGAUGAGCCGAUGUCGGAUUAGCUAGUUGGUGAGGUAAAGGCUCACCAAGGCGACGAUCCGUAGCUGGUCUGAGAGGAUGAUCAGCCACACUGGGACUGAGACACGGCCCAGACUCCUACGGGAGGCAGCAGUGGGGAAUAUUGGACAAUGGGGGCAACCCUGAUCCAGCAAUGCCGCGUGUGUGAAGAAGGCCUUCGGGUUGUAAAGCACUUUUAUCCGGAACGAAACGCGCUUGGUGAAUAGCCAGGUGAACUGACGGUACCGGAGGAAUAAGCACCGGCUAACUUCGUGCCAGCAGCCGCGGUAAUACGAAGGGUGCAAGCGUUACUCGGAAUUACUGGGCGUAAAGCGUGCGUAGGUGGUUUGUUAAGUCCGUUGUGAAAGCCCUGGGCUCAACCUGGGAAUGGCAGUGGAUACUGGCGAGCUAGAGUGCGGUAGAGGGUAGUGGAAUUCCCGGUGUAGCAGUGAAAUGCGUAGAGAUCGGGAGGAACACCAGUGGCGAAGGCGGCUACCUGGACCAGCACUGACACUGAGGCACGAAAGCGUGGGGAGCAAACAGGAUUAGAUACCCCCGUAGUCC